rnacentral:rRNA from 1 species
AUUGAACGCUGGCGGAAUGCUUUACACAUGCAAGUCGAACGGCAGCACGGGGCAACCUGGUGGCGAGUGGCGAACGGGUGAGUAAUAUAUCGGAACGUGCCCAAUCGUGGGGGAUAACGUAGCGAAAGUUACGCUAAUACCGCAUACGAUCUACGGAUGAAAGCGGGGGAUCGCAAGACCUCGCGCGAAUGGAGCGGCCGAUAUCAGAUUAGGUAGUUGGUGGGGUAAAGGCUCACCAAGCCAACGAUCUGUAGCUGGUCUGAGAGGACGACCAGGCCACACUGGAACUGAGACACGGUCCAGACUCCUACGGGAGGCAGCAGUGGGGAAUUUUGGACAAUGGGCGCAAGCCUGAUCCAGCCAUUCCGCGUGCAGGAUGAAGGCCUUCGGGUUGUAAACUGCUUUGUACGGAACGAAACGGUCUGCCCUAAUACGGCAGGCUAAUGACGGUACCGUAAGAAUAAGCACCGGCUAACUACGUGCCAGCCGCCGCGGUAAAACCAC